rnacentral:rRNA from 1 species
GAUGAACGCUGGCGGCGUGCCUAAUACAUGCAAGUCGAGCGAACAGACGAGGAGCUUGCUCCUCUGACGUUAGCGGCGGACGGGUGAGUAACACGUGGAUAACCUACCUAUAAGACUGGGAUAACUUCGGGAAACCGGAGCUAAUACCGGAUAAUCUAUUGCACCGCAUGGUUCAAUAGUGAAUGACGGUUUUGCUGUCACUUAUAGAUGGAUCCGCGCCGCAUUAGCUAGUUGGUGAGGUAACGGCUUACCAAGGCGACGAUGCGUAGCCGACCUGCGGGGGGGAUCGGCCACACGGGAACUUGAACACGGUCCAGACGCCUACGGGAGGCAGCAGUAGGGAAUCUUCCGCAAUGGGCGAAAGCCUGACGGAGCAACGCCGCGUGAGUUAUGAAGGUCUUCGGAUCGUAAAACUCUGUUAUGAGGGAAGAACAAAUGUGUAAGUAACUAUGCACGUCUUGACGGUACCUAAUCAGAAAGCCACGGCUAACUACGUG